UGUUUCGGCUAGGGGGCCAUCCCGGCUUACCAACCCGAUGCAAACUGCGAAUACCGGAGAAUGUUAUCACGGGAGACACACGGCGGGUGCUAACGUCCGUCGUGAAGAGGGAAACAACCCAGACCGCCAGCUAAGGUCCCAAAGUCAUGGUUAAGUGGGAAACGAUGUGGGAAGGCCCAGACAGCCAGGAUGUUGGCUUAGAAGCAGCCAUCAUUUAAAGAAAGCGUAAUAGCUCACUGGUCGAGUCGGCCUGCGCGGAAGAUGUAACGGGGCUAAACCAUGCACCGAAGCUGCGGCAGCGACACUGUGUGUUGUUGGGUAGGGGAGCGUUCUGUAAGCCUGUGAAGGUGGCCUGUGAGGGUUGCUGGAGGUAUCAGAAGUGCGAAUGCUGACAUAAGUAACGAUAAAGCGGGUGAAAAGCCCGCUCGCCGGAAGACCAAGGGUUCCUGUCCAACGUUAAUCGGGGCAGGGUGAGUCGACCCCUAAGGCGAGGCCGAAAGGCGUAGUCGAUGGGAAACAGGUUAAUAUUCCUGUACUUGGUGUUACUGCGAAGGGGGGACGGAGAAGGCUAUGUUGGCCGGGCGACGGUUGUCCCGGUUUAAGCGUGUAGGCUGGUUUUCCAGGCAAAUCCG
rnacentral:rRNA from 1 species